GAAAACGCAAAUGCUUUAUCUCUCUAGACCAGCGCCUGCACUGUCCUUCUCUCUCUUCCUCAGCUUCGCUGCUUUCCCUUUCAGUCCAGGCCCCAAACCCCCUUCCUUUCUCUACAGCUCUAAAUCACCCACCGUUUCUCUCUCUACAACUUCGAAUCACGCAAUUGACUACAGGAAGGCGUCCGUCCCUGCAACCGCCAUGGAGCCACCUGUUGCCAAGAAACUUAAGCAUGAGAUGGAGAUGUUUGGCGAUGUUAGGAUUGACAAUUACUACUGGCUUCGUNNNNNNNNNNNNNNNNNNNNAGACUCAUAUUAUACAAUCCCAAUCUUAUAUAUUAAUAACCAAAUCUCAUUAUGUAUUUGUUAAAUAACCUAUCCACCACCUUUCCACAAUCCAAUGCGUAUUAACAUAUAAAUAGUAUGUAAGAAGAGCAUCCAACUGUGCACUAUCCUCCAAAUUGCAUGCUACUCUACCCAAUCUAGUUGAUAGAAAUAAGACAGUUAGCAACGAUUAUUUUAUUUUUUUAUUGAAGCUAUCUUUAAAACCUACCAAAUAAAUGUGAGAAAAAUAUCACUAAAAUGGCUAUACCAUCUUGAAAAUCAUUGAAGCAGUCAAACCAACCAAUUUAUCAACUAAACGAUUGGUUUAAAAAUUUCAUUUAACUCAAAUGCUUCCACAAAAAAAUAUAUCUUCAUCUGUUUAGAAAUCAGAACAAAAACCUGAGUGACCUGGGCCAAUUAAUGAAACUACUCCCAUUCCAGGUUUCGAGCCAAAAAAUACAUGUUCUGGAUUUAAAAGUCCAAAUAAAUAAGGUUAGUUUGGGGACUUAUUUCAGGAGCUAAACCAUAGAAAUAGCUUACCACCUUGGAUUCAAAACUCAAACGCAAGUACUUUGGACACUCUUUAAUUAAAGGAAAAGUAGAUCAUUUAUCCCAAACUGCUCAUCAAUUUAAAGAAAUUACGAUAUCUUUAUAAUAAGAAGUAAAUGGUCUCAUAGUAUAUAAUCCCUAAAUAAAAAUAGUUGAAGAGGUACUUGAUUGAAAAGUUUCUGUACAAUGCAACCACUUUAUCAAAAAAUUGGAUAAUCUUAUCACCUCAUGGAUUUUUUAGGUAGCUUCAUGUUUCAAUGAUAUUGCCUUCCUUAUUAUCUACCUGAAAAAAAUUAUAUAAAGUUUUAACCUUAAAAUAUAGAAUUAAAGGUAUAUCUAAAAAAUCAAUCAUAAAAGGUUUGCAUGUUGAAAAACUCUCUAGUUUGGUCAUCUCGACAUCGAGAUGUAAGAAUAUGAAAAGAAAAAAAGAUUUUUAGUCUUUAAAAUAUGUAUAUUGCAACACACGAGAUGUAAGAAUAUGAAAAGAAAAAAAGAUUUUUAGUCUUUAAAAUAUGUAUAUUGCAACACAUUAUCUACCCUUAUAUUUUCUCGAGAUAUUCAUAGAUCUACUUGAUUUGAAUCGUUUUUAAAAUUUAAAAUUUUAUAAUUAGAGACGAAAAUAGAGUUGGAAGCAUAUUUGAUGUCCAAAUCACAUUUAUAAUAAAAUUUAGAGGAGCAUAUUUAAGGUGAAUGAAUAGGAGUUUACUUUAAAGUACCAUUGGACACGAGGAGCAAGAGCGGGAAGAGAGAGAGAGAAAGGAUUGGGCAAGUUAGAGAGAGAGGGGGGAAAACCUUUGUUUAUUAUUUUAUUCAUAUUAAAUAUCAUAUUGAUUGGAGAAAACGCAAAUGCUUUAUCUCUCUAGACCAGCGCCUGCACUGUGCUUCUCUCUCUUCCUCAGCUUCGCUGCUUUCCCUUUCAGUCCCUUCCUUUCUCUACAGCUCUAAAUCACACACCGUUUCUCUCUCUACAACUUCGAAUCACGCAAUUGACUACAGGAAGGCGUCCGUCCCUGCAACCGCCAUGGAGCCACCUGUUGCCAAGAAACUUAAGCAUGAGAUGGAGAUGUUUGGCGAUGUUAGGAUUGACAAUUACUACUGGCUUCGUGAUGAUUCUCGCUCUAACCCUGAAG
rnacentral:lncRNA from 1 species